rnacentral:rRNA from 1 species
GACGAACGCUGGCGGCGCGCUUAACACAUGCAAGUCGAACGGAAAGGCCUGCUUUCCCUUGUGGAUUGCGGGUACUCGAGUGGCGAACGGGUGAGUAACACGUGAGUGAUCUGCCCCCAACUUGGGUAUAAGCCUGGGAAACUGGGUCUAAUUCCCGAUAGGACUGCAGGGUGGUGCCUGUGGUGGAAAACGAUUUUCUAGUGGUUGGGGAUGAGCUCGCGGCCUAUCAGCUUGUUGGUGGGGUAAUGGCCUACCAAGGCGGCGACGGGUAGCCGGCCUGGGAGGGUGGACGGGCGCAUUGGGACUGAGAUACGGCCCAGACUCCUACGGGAGGCAGCAGUGGGGAAUAUUGCACAAUGGGCGGAAGCCUGAUGCAGCGACGCCGCGUGGGGGAUGACGGCCUUCGGGUUGUAAACUCCUUUCGACCGCGAGGAAGCCACCUGGUUGGAAGGGUGGUGACGGUAGUGGUAGAAGAAGCACCGGCUAACUACGUG